UUUAAACUGGAGAGUUUGAUCCUGGCUCAGAACGAACGCUGGCGGCGUGCUUAACACAUGCAAGUCGAACGGGAUCCAGAGCUUG
rnacentral:rRNA from 1 species